UACGGGAGGCAGCAGUGGGGAAUCUUAGACAAUGGGGGCAACCCUGAUCUAGCCAUGCCGCGUGAGUGAUGAAGGCCUUAGGGUUGUAAAGCUCUUUCAGCUGGGAAGAUAAUGACGGUACCAGCAGAAGAAGCCCCGGCUAACUCCGUGCCAGCAGCCGCGGUAAUACGGAGGGGCUAGCGUUGUUCGGAAUUACUGGGCGUAAAGCGCACGUAGGCGGACUGGAAAGUCAGAGGUGAAAUCCCAGGGCUCAACCUUGGAACUGCCUUUUGAAACUAUCAGUCUGGAGUUUCGAGAGAGGUGAGUGGAAUUCCGAGUGUAGAGGUGAAAUUCGUAGAUAUUCGGAGGAACACCAGUGGCGAAGGCGGCUCACUGGCUCGAUACUGACGCUGAGGUGCGAAAGCGUGGGGAGCGAAACAGGGAUUAGGAUACC
rnacentral:rRNA from 1 species